CAAACAGGAUUAGAUACCCUGGUAGUCCACGCCCUAAACGAUGUCUACUAGUUGUUGGGUCUUAAUUGACUUAGUAACGCAGCUAACGCGUGAAGUAGACCGCCUGGGGAGUACGGUCGCAAGAUUAAAACUCAAAGGAAUUGACGGGGACCCGCACAAGCGGUGGAUGAUGUGGAUUAAUUCGAUGCAACGCGAAAAACCUUACCUACCCUUGACAUGGCAGGAAUCCCGGAGAGAUUUGGGAGUGCUCGAAAGAGAACCUGCACACAGGUGCUGCAUGGCUGUCGUCAGCUCGUGUCGUGAGAUGUUGGGUUAAGUCCCGCAACGAGCGCAACCCUUGUCAUUAGUUGCUACGCAAGAGCACUCUAAUGAGACUGCCGGUGACAAACCGGAGGAAGAUGGGGAUGACGUCAAGUCCUCAUGGCCCUUAUGGGUAGGGCUUCACACGUCAUACAAUGGUACAUACAGAGGGCCGCCAACCCGCGAGGGGGAGCUAAUCCCAGAAAGUGUAUCGUAGUCCGGAUUGUAGUCUGCAACUCGACUACAUGAAGUUGGAAUCGCUAGUAAUCGCGGAUCAGCAUGUCGCGGUGAAUACGUUCCCGGGUCUUGUACACACCGCCCGUCACACCAUGGGAGCGGGUUUUACCAGAAGUAGGUAGCUUAACCGCAAGGAGGGCGCUUACCACGGUAGGAUUCGUGACUGGGGUGAAGUCGUAACAAGGUAACCA
rnacentral:rRNA from 1 species